ensembl:lncRNA
CUGCAUGCUUGUAUUCAUUGCGCACAAUGUCUACAUAUGAAAAGCUGAUGACAGAUCAGAUCUGAAUUACUUUAGUAUGUGUUAAAUACAACUUGAAGACAUAUGCUGAACCUAGACCAGUUGUCUAUGAUACUAUGAGCUGGAGGUAAUGCGGUUGAAACGGGAGAGGAGAUUCAGCAGGAAGCGAAUCGUGACUGAAAAUUGUGCACACAGAUCACCAACCACCGGCAGAUGGAAGAUUGACAAUUUAAAAGAAUAUGGAGGACAACGAAAAAAUGACAAAUGUGACAAUGACAACGUCAGAACGUGUAUUUAGCAGGUAGCCAGCAACGAUGCUAGAAUAGCUUGCUAUCUAUCUGUCUGGGGACUGACAGUGAGGUCACAGGGCUGCGGAGAGCUCGGAAAAAUGUAUAUCGUUUUUGGUGUACUUUUCCUGUAAUUUUUCGACCUCGCCUUAAAUUUUUGCUCGCUAGAUAAAAUGUAGCUAGCAAGGUUCUCUCAGUAGCAAGCGAUCUAGCUGUUGCGCGUAAAAUACUGUAUAUAGACAGGAAAAUACAACCACCUCAGCUAUAGUCGAGUGGCUGGUAACUACAGCAACCAAGUGACUGACAGCCUGUCAAACUUUUUGUCGUUAGUGCAGAUGUUUGUGCCAGUAAGGUAUUUGAAUGGGGAUGCAUUUUUACGGUCAGACUCUAUUGAAUACAACGUCAGCAGCUAUACAUUUCAAGUUUUCAAAGGAGGAAGACGCCAAUAAAGUUAGCUAGCUAGAAGCAGAUCUAACGUUACCUAGCUAUAGUACCUGUGAAACACAUUUCAUUGGUUAUUUUUCCACGUGAGAAAAUGGAGGGAAGCGAAAAUAGAAACAAAAGAAAACUAAUUCCGGACCAGCAAGGACGAACCGGAACAGCAGAGAAAGAUAAUCAAUUACACGACCCUAAACGCUGCCCGAUUCUGCAUAAUCAAAGCAGGCAAUGAGCCCCGUCGGGUCUUUUUAAAAAUUGAGGUCGGGGAAGCGAAACUAAUGCAUGAUGUGUGGGAAAAUUGCUUUUUUUCACUUGAUCUGUCCAACUUAUCACAUUAUCGCUUCUAAAAUGU